ensembl:snRNA U6 U6 spliceosomal RNA
AUGUGCUCACCUCGGCAACAUAUAUACUAAAAUCGGAACGAUACAGAGAAGAUUUCAUCCUGCACAAGGAUGAAAUCACUCAGUACGUGAGGGUUUAUAAAAUACG